rnacentral:rRNA from 1 species
CGGCCGGUACAAAAGCGGAGAUGAUCACGUGCUCUUUAUAGGUAUUAAGCCGUCAUCGAGCUGUUGCUGGCCACCCCCCUCACGGGGGGAGCAAGUGCACGCUCUGGCUACCCAUCCACUCCCCUCUGUGCACCCUCCGUAGUUCUAUGGGCUAGAGGAAAGACUCCGUCCUCCUUCCCGUAGUUCUGCGUCACCACAUCCACUCUGUAACAAAGUCUUAUGGAACGUUUGAUGGCAAUGCAAUACAACUUUCAGCAACGGAUCUCUUGGCUCUCGCAUCCAUGAAGAACGCAGCGAAAUGCGAUAAGUAAUGUGAAUUGCAGAAUUCAGUGAAUCAUCCAAUCUUUGAACGCACCUUGCGCCCCUUGGUCAUUCCGAGGGGCAUGCCUGUUUGAGUAUCAUGAACACUUCAACUCUCACGGUUCGCCGUGGUGAGCUUGGACUUUGGGGGGUUUGCUGGCCUUUGCGGUCGGCUCCUCUCAAACGGAUCAGCUUGCCAGCGUUUGGGGGCAUCGUAGUGUGAUAACUAUCUACGCCUACCGUCGUCUGCCAUGUAACCUUUGGUAACGGAGGUUCGCUGGGGCUUAUGAAAGCCCGAGGAACGGCAUUUUGGAACGUUCGAUCUCAAAUCAGGUAAGGACUACCCGCUGAACUUAAGCAUAUCAUAAGCCCGGAGGAAAGAGGCGCCCUCUUGUUCAUAUAGAGGGAAGUAACCUAUCCACUUAGGUGGAGGAGUGCUGUCUCUUUGUUGAUAUAGGAGGAGAGUACGUCUCUGCAUUGUA